UCACUGCUUCCAAUUAUUGAACUUUAUCAUUUAACAGCUACCAGCUCCCAUGCAUUCUGCAGGUUUAUAUACAGCCACAGAGCAUGUAGCUGUAUUUAUAUUUAUUUUUAUCCUUUGUAUUUCAAAUUAUCUGUGUCCUCUCAGUCUUCACUUAAUUUUCAGAUCACUGCCUGUGUCUUUAGAAACCAGGCAAAAAACUGAUAAGGUAUCAUCACUGAUACAUCCUACUGAAACUACCAAAACUGUUUGAGUGGCCUCCUAUUAGUGUCAAUUUUCCAUAGGAAAAUGUCAUUUCACCUUUCUCUGCAAAGACUCUGUGUGAUUCAGGAGGUGAGGUGAGGAAACACCCUCUAACAGCAUUCCAGAAAGGAGUGCCUUCCAUUGCGACUCCACAAUUGCUAGGAAAACACUGUUGCACAGGACAGCAUGACACAACAUUGAAAGACUGCCUCCACCCCAGUUACCCGCCUUCACAGUCUCCACAACAGAGUAUUUAUUCCAGGAAAAGCAGUUGUGGCUGAUGCCUGACAAUGGUCUCGCUGGUUCUCCUCCCCUCCCAGAUAGAUGGCCAGAGUUGGAAAAUGUGGACUAGAAUGGAAGGGAAGCACAACCAGUUCAUCUCAAAGGGGUUUGAGUCACUCAGUUUUUCCCUGGAAAAAGACUUGAGCCAGUCUCAGUUUUAUUUUCCAGCUCAGGCUGAAUACCACUUCCUCUUAAGCCGUCCUUGCUGACAAGGAUCUUCAACUCCACUGGGAACCAUCACUGCCAUCAUCCAGACUGUCCUGCUAGAUCUGCAUCAAGAACCUGUGGACUUCAUCCAUGUUGCAAACUUGAGAAGCCAGUCAAAGUUUGUCUUACUAAAUACCGGAACUUCUUUUUACAAGGUAAACUAGUGUGAUUUUCUAAGGAAUCAUGAGUUUACUUAGCACUAGAGACAUCAGCACUACAGGCAUGUUUGUUCCUAGAAGUGAUCCUCACCAAAGAACCAUCCUCUGGUCUUCCUAAUACUCAAAACAAUACAUACGA